rnacentral:rRNA from 1 species
GCAGAUCUCCUUCGGGAGUGACGCUUGUGGAACGAGCGGCGGACGGGUGAGUAACACGUGGGCAACCUACCUGUAAGACUGGGAUAACUCCGGGAAACCGGGGCUAAUACCGGAUGAAACAAAGCGUCGCAUGACGCAAUGUUAAAAGGCGGCAUAUGCUGUCACUUACAGAUGGGCCCGCGGCGCAUUAGCUAGUUGGUGAGGUAAAGGCUCACCAAGGCAACGAUGCGUAGCCGACCUGAGAGGGUGAUCGGCCACACUGGGACUGAGACACGGCCCAGACUCCUACGGGAGGCAGCAGUAGGGAAUCUUCCGCAAUGGACGAAAGUCUGACGGAGCAACGCCGCGUGAGUGAUGAAGGUUUUCGGAUCGUAAAACUCUGUUGUUAGGGAAGAACAAGUGCCAUUCGAAUAGGUUGGCACCUUGACGGUACCUAACCAGAAAGCCCCGGCUAACUACGUGCCAGCAGCCGCGGUAAUACGUAGGGGGCAAGCGUUGUCCGGAAUUAUUGGGCGUAAAGCGCGCGCAGGCGGUCCUUUAAGUCUGAUGUGAAAGCCCACGGCUUAACCGUGGAGGGCCAUUGGAAACUGGAGGACUUGAGUACAGAAGAGGAGAGUGGAAUUCCACGUGUAGCGGUGAAAUGCGUAGAGAUGUGGAGGAACACCAGUGGCGAAGGCGACUCUCUGGUCUGUAACUGACGCUGAGGUGCGAAAGCGUGGGUAGCGAACAGGAUUAGAUACCCUGGUAGUCCACGCCGUAAACGAUGAGUGCUAGGUGUUAGGGGG